GACAGAGGGUGCAAACGUUGUUCGGAAUUACUGGGCGUAAAGCGCGUGUAGGCGGCCCUGCAAGUCGGGUGUGAAAUCCCACGGCUCAACCGUGGAAGUGCACUCGAAACUGCAGGGCUAGAGUCCUAGAGAGGAAGGUGGAAUGCUUGGUGUAGAGGUGAAAUGCGUAGAUAUCGGAAGGAACGCCGGUGGCGAAAGCGGCGUGCUGGACCUCUUCUGACGCUGAGGCGCGAAAGCCAGGGGAGCAAACGGG
rnacentral:rRNA from 1 species